GGGGCUGGGCCUCAGUGGUAGAGCAUCUGCUUCACAUGCAGAAGGUCAUGGGUUCAAUCCCUAGCAUCUCCA
rnacentral:tRNA from 1 species